rnacentral:rRNA from 1 species
UACGUAGGGGGCUAGCGUUGUCCGGAAUCAUUGGGCGUAAAGCGCGUGUAGGCGGUCCGGUAAGUCCGCUGUGAAAGCCGAGGGCUCAACCCUCGAAUGCCGGUGGAUACUGUCGGGCUUGAGUACGGGAGAGGCGAGUGGAAUUCCUGGUGUAGCGGUGAAAUGCGCAGAUAUCAGGAGGAACACCGGUUGCGAAGGCAGCUCGCUGGAACGUUACUGACGCUGAGGCGCGAAAGCGUGGGGAGCAAACAGG